UGACAUGAUUGUGUCCUGGGAUGGCUCCCACUCGUAUCGCUAUGAAAACAGAAGUUUCAUAAACCAGAGAUGAGUUACUUCAACUCAGUUUAAUUCAAUAAACAGUUAUUGAACAUUUACUGUGUCCAGGAUACCAUUGGCCAUGGUGAAUGAUACAUGAUCCCUCCUAUCAAGAAAUUUGCAAUCUAGUAUGGGAGAAACUAUGCAAAUAAAUGUCCAACCAUAAGAUGACUGCUACGGUAUAGUAACAAGCAAAGAUUUAGGAACUCAGUAGGUAAACAACCACCACCUGUUCACCCCCUCUCCUCCAAAAGAGGAAAAAAAGAAUUUUUCCUUUGAUGACAGCAACACAUGACCCAGGAAGGUUGUGACAGAAAUAAAGUUUACAGAAGUCGUGUUCCUGCGAUAAGAAAUAAAGAUGUGACCUUCCAGUUGUGUAAAGCUCUUAAAUGCUGUGUAAGUGCGUCGGGUGCGCUAAGGACCCUGGAGCUAAAUGGGCUAGUUCUGAGAGAGAGAGACUUAACUAUGUUAACAAGCUGCCAAGCAGUAACGGCUGUCUUUGUACUGAAUCCCGGAAGUGUCUCUGUAUCCUGGAAGUAUUGCAAUGAUCGUCUUCACACCUGCAAAAUAUUCCUGCACCGUGUACACAAAUGAUUAUGGCUCCGCUCUCGGGCCUCACCUGGGAGCUACUGCAUGUGAGGAUCAAAUUGAUACACAUUAGGGCAUCCUCAGCGGUCUUUGGCAAAGGCCUAUAGAUUACCUCGCUAUCCAAUUUGUUAACUGGACAGCAGAGCCUGAGUGGAAAGAACAAUGCGCUCGUCAGUUGGGAAAAGCUCCUCCAGGUAUCAACAGAUACAAGCAAGGCAAUCUCACUGUGCAGGUUGAUUAGAACUGGGUUUGUAUUUUGGACAAUAAACUCUAUUUAUGAUAGUCUCCCAGUCAUUAAGUAUCUCUGCUGUAAGAGAAAACUGGGGCUAUUAACUUCUCCAGAUAGAACCCCAGGGAAAAGUGAUCAUUUCUUUUCUAAGCAGAAGGGAAGGUUCUGCUCAAUAAAGAUCAAUUAAACAUCUCUGUUAAAAGACUGCUUGGAGCUGGUGCCAAAGGAAAUUCCACUGUAUUAACCCGUGCUCCCUCCAACCCUCCCCACCUCUGUAGCUUGCACUGGGGAAAAUUGUAAGAGGACGCUGGCUAUUGUAAGCUUUAUAAGGUGACAGUAGCUCUCACAUCCGUGGCUGAAUGAUCUUUGAUGUUGAGUGACUUUUCCUGCAUUUAGCAGGGGUAUUCCCAGAGGAUGGCAGGCAAAUCAAACGCUCCUCUGAAUUCAGCUGCUAGCAUCAAUCAUCCUCAUGAGGGAGUUAAAAAAAAGAAUAUAACAAUAGGUACCGGGAAAAAUGAUAUGGUGGUCUGAGCUAGUAAUUCCCAGGAUGCAGGAAGAGUUUUGGGGGCCCUAGAAAAUCCACUGCAUAAAGAAAACCCGCCACAAUCUCCACCAGCAUCUUAUAGUUACCACCUCAUUCUUGUCCUUUAAAAUACAGUGUGCUUGUCCUUUAAAAUACAGUGUGUCUUGUACGUUAAAAUACAGUGUGCUUCUACUCUCUGGCUUAGACUGCAUCCUCUCAUGUAAAUUCCAUCUGUUCUUGCUUGAGGGAGGGCAGACACAACCUUGACUUUAUCCUCUUGAUGAGAGUGAUGUUUCAUGGUGUUGGGAGGAUUUUCAUUGGGUCAAUUGCCUGAUUGAGACAUAGCCUUAGUGAGGUGACAAAUAGCAGGCAUUAAUGUCUCUUUUUUAAUGGUAUGAUGAAUGGUCUAAGAGAAGGGUCAGCAAACUGUAGCCAGCCGCCUGUUUUCGUAAAUAAAUUAUUGGACCACA